rnacentral:sRNA from 1 species
GUGCGACGGCUGAGGUCUCUACCAUGGCGGCCCGGCUUGUGAGCCGAUGCGGAGCUGUGCGUGCAGCUCCCCACAGCGGCCCGCUGGUGUCCUGCUGCAGGUGGUCCGGCGCCUCAACAGACACCGUGUAUGACGUGGUGGUGUCGGGUGGAGGCCUGGUGGGCGCUGCCAUGGCCUGUGCCUUGGGAUAUGAUAUUCACUUUCAUGACAAGAAAAUCCUGUUACUCGAAGCAGGUCCAAAGAAAGUAUUGGAGAAAUUGUCAGAAACUUACAGCAACAGGGUCAGCUCCAUUUCCCCUGGCUCUGCAACGCUUCUCAGUAGUUUUGGUGCCUGGGACCAUAUCUGCAACAUGAGAUACAGAGCCUUUCGGCGAAUGCAGGUGUGGGACGCCUGCUCAGAGGCCCUGAUAAUGUUUGAUAAGGAUAAUUUAGAUGAUAUGGGCUAUAUCGUGGAGAAUGAUGUCAUCAUGCAUGCUCUCACUAAGCAGCUGGAGGCUGUGUCUGGUGAGGCCCCCAUCUUCUAUCUUGCAUUCAUUGGGAAGUGAACUGCUUAGGACUUACUGGAAGAAAGGAUCU